UACAGAGGUCCCGAGCGUUGUUCGGAUUCAUUGGGCGUAAAGGGUGCGUAGGCGGCGGGGAAAGUCUGAUGUGAAAUCCUGGGGCUCAACCCUGGAACUGCAUUGGAUACUUCCUUGCUAGAGUACUGGAGAGGAAACUGGAAUUUACGGUGUAGCAGUGAAAUGCGUAGAGAUCGUAAGGAAGACCAGUGGCGAAGGCGAGUUUCUGGACAGUUACUGACGCUGAGGCACGAAGGCCAGGGGGAGCAAACGGG
rnacentral:rRNA from 1 species